rnacentral:rRNA from 1 species
UCGGGAAUUUUGGGCAAUGGGCGAAAGCCUGACCCAGCAACGCCGCGUGAAGGAUGAAAUCCCUCGGGAUGUAAACUUCGCAAGAACAGGAAGAAUAAGUAAGGGUUAAUAUCCCUUACGAUGACGGUACUGUUUGUAAGCUCCGGCUAACUCCGUGCCAGCAGCCGCGGUAAUACGGGGGGAGCAAGCGUUGUUCGGAUUUACUGGGCGUAAAGGGCGCGUAGGCGGCCACUGCAAGUCGGUUGUGAAAUCUCCGGGCUUAACCCGGAAAGGUCAAUCGAUACUGCAGGGCUAGAGUGCAGAAGGGGCAACUGGAAUUCUCGGUGUAGCGGUGAAAUGCGUAGAUAUCGAGAGGAACACCGGUGGCGAAGGCGGGUCUCUGGGCCGAUACUGACGCUGAGGAGCGAAAGCGUGGGGAGCGAA